rnacentral:rRNA from 1 species
AGAACGAACGCUGGCGGCAUGCCUAACACAUGCAAGUCGAACGCUCUUGGGAUUUCGGUCUCAAGGGAGUGGCGCACGGGUGAGUAGCGCGUGGGAACCUGCCCUGUUGUGGGGGAUAACCGAGGGAAACUUCGGCUAAUACCGCAUGCGCCCCCGGGAGUGAUCCUGGGGGGAAAGAUUUAUCGCAGCAGGAGGGGCCCGCGUCGGAUUAGGUAGUUGGUGGGUAACGGCCCACAAGCCUGUGAUCCGUAGCUGGUCUGAGAGGAUGAUCAGCCACACUGGGACUGAGACACGGCCCAGACUCCUACGGGAGCAGCAGUGGGGAAUAUUGGACAAUGGGCGCAAGCCUGAUCCAGCAAUGCCGCGUGAGUGAUGAAGGCCUUAGGGUUGUAAAGCUCUUUCGGCGGGGACGAUGAUGACGGUACCCGCAGAAGAAGCCCCGGCUAACUUCGUGCCAGCAGCCGC